UGUCGGAAAUUAACGCUUUUAUAGGGGUCGUGAUGACUUUCUAAUCUGUGCAAAGUGCCCAGAGAGUGUUUAUGUGACGUUUGAGCAGGUAAGAGUAAUGUUUUGCCGAGUGCAUUAAAGCGCGUGUGUGAGCGGAGCCGCCGCCAUUUUGUGUCCGGAUACCGCGUGUUUUGCUGCUUUGUCAGUUUACAUGUGCACCUAUGUAAAUGCAUUUUGCACAGUUGUUUGUGUAGUAUUUAUUUAGUAAAUUUAAGUUGUGAGAGUUUACUCAGCUAACACUACAUAUUAUUCACCAGUAACAGUAGAGAAAAUGUGAAUUAUGUCUCAGGGAAAUAAACUGUGUUUUGCUGUAUACAGAGGGUGUGUAUUCAGUUGUGACCAAUUUGUUGUGAAGGUAUUUUUUUUUGUAAUCUGUGUAUAUUUUUGAUGACUUGAGUAUAUUCUCGAUGAGGAAACCACCUCACGUCUUUGUCGUGAUUAUUUCUCCCCAUUUUUGAGGGGUGUAACAUUAUGGAGACACCGCCGAGAUGGUGCUUCAGAUGUCCGGUGUCCAUAAACUGGUGGCCGAAUGCUGCAGCAACUAAAUUCUCCCCACAAUACAACUCAGGUAUGCUGUAAUGAGAAAAGGCGCUGCUGUGUCAAGGGGAGCUGGAAGCUGGUGGUGGAGUACACGUCAUCUGAGGCCAGUCAGAGAUGAUCGGGGACGUUAAAGGCCAGCCAACUCCUGCACAGGACAAGAGUGCUGGAAACAGUGACACAUGAUUGUGCAGAAGACAACAGAGAUUUUAACCGUAAGAACCAGCGAUGAAGCUGAGAGUGACCACUACACAAUGCAAGCCCGAGACAGCAGGUGUCGACUGCAUUCAGUACUCCUCAGGUCCAUUGAAAUCCAGUUCCAUGAUUAGCCUGGGGAGAUUAAUAUCACCAACUGAUCCUUCCAGACUACAGCAAAACAACUUCAUAUGGCAUCGCAUUUGGGAACUUCACAGAUCCAGUGGUGAUUGAUUGACAACGGAACAUCACCUCUGAUUAGCUUGAUGGAUAUCUUGAGAUCUGUCUCAGCCGAUCAGCUGACCAAAUAGCUCAGAUCCACCCGAGCUGAUUUUUUGUUGUACCAUCAGUGACUGACCAAUCCCAGCGGUCCUCUCAGUGGCUCCACCAGUGACACCAGACUUUUGGCCCCCAGCCUCACCCUACUCUUCCUCCUCACUUCUUCCUUCCCUCCCUCAGGUCUUGGCUGUCCGCACUGUGACUGCCUGGAUCCUCCAGUGAGGGAAGACCUCCCUCCUCCUCCCCGACCCCACCCUCACUUUCAUCCCUCCCUCUCCCCUCAACAUUUCCUUCCACCUCCAUCCUCCACCUCUUCCUCUUCCCUCUCCUAUACACAUACCCCUCCCUCCCAUUUCCUCCCUCCCCCUCCUACACACCCCCAUCUCCCUCCCCACCUUCCCACCCCCCCCACACACUUCCCCAUCUCCCUCCCCACCUUCCCCCCCAGGACCUUGUCAGGGAGCCCUCCCUCCAUCCUCCUCCUGCCUAUUCCUCCGCACUCCCCUGCCCUCUACCCAUCCCCAACCUCUUCCCCCCUCUCUCCCCAUCCCCUCCUCUAACCCUUUCCUUCCUCCUCCUCCUCCUCCCCUUCCCCUACACUCCUCCACUCCCUCCCAAUUCCUCCCCCUCCCCAUCUCUCACCUGUUCCCCUCCCUUCCCUCACUCUCCCCUUCCCCUCCCAUCCUCCUCCUUCCUCUCUCUCUCUCCAUCCCUCCUGCCUCUGCUCUUCCUUCACCUCAAUUCCCUCCGCCCAACCUCUCACCUUCCUUCCCACCCUAACCCUCCAUCCCCUCAACUGUAUGUUUUUUAUUUUGUAUGUGUGUGAGACCUUCCCUACCCACUUCACCCUCCUCCCUGCAUCUCCACAGCAUUCCACACACACCACUCCCCACAAGACACAGUGUAAUCCCCCCCCCACACGCACAGCACUCCCUGCCACACUCCACAAUCCACACACACACACACCAAUCCCCCCCCACACUCCACAAUCCACACACACACCAAUCUCCGCACACUCCACUCUCUCCUAUAUACACUGUAACCCUGGUGUACACUUCAGUCGCCUCACUGCACUCCCCCGUGUUCACUGAAACCACCACACGUACCACAACCCUCAUCACACUGCACACCUCUCCCCCCGCAGUCACCUUUUCCCUCUGCUCCUCUUCUUCCCCUCUUCCCUCCAACUUCCUCCCCUCUCCCCCUCCCCACACUGCCACCACAACCCACUGCUCUCCUUUCCACCGUCUCCCCACCCCUCUGAUUCCUUCCUAUCCCCUCCACCCUCCCCUCUCUCUCACACACCUGCAAACGCACAUACAGCCGGGGUGAUGGAUGGCGGGGUAGUGGGGGGAGAGUGGGUGGAAGAGGG